rnacentral:rRNA from 1 species
CCCUUAGAUGUUCUGGGCCGCACGCGCGCUACACUGAUGCAUUCAACGAGCCUAUCCUUGACCGACAGGUCCGGGGAAUCUUUGAAUCUGCAUCGUGACGGGGAUAGAUUAUUGCAAUUAUUAAUCUUCAACGAGGAAUGCCUAGUAGGCGCAAGUCAUCAGCUUGCGUCGAUUACGUCCCUGCCCUUUGUACACACCGCCCGUCGCUCCUACCGAUUGGGUGUGCUGGUGAAAUGUUCGGAUCGGCCGUUUGUCGCGGUUUCCGCGUCAUGUGGCUGAGAAGUUCAUUAAACCCUCCCACCUAGAGGAAGGAGAAGUCGUAACA